rnacentral:rRNA from 1 species
UACAGAGGUCUCAAGCGUUGUUCGGAAUCAUUGGGCGUAAAGGGCGCGCAGGUGGCUCUGUAUGUCUGACCGUGAAAGCAUACAGCUCAACUGUAUUGUGUCGGUAGAAACUGCAGGACUUGAGGCUGGGAGGGGCUGGUGGAAUUCCCUGUGUAGCGGUGAAAUGCGUAGAUAUUGGGAGGAACACCAGUGGCGAAGGCGGCUCACUGGACCGGUACUGACGCUGAUGCGCGAAGCGUGGGAGCAACGGG